ensembl:snoRNA
UGGAUCAAUGAUGCUAACUGCCAGAGUAUGAGUCACGGAUGAUGAAUAAUAUGUCUCCAACUCUGAGAUCCAA